GGCUAUUAAACGAAUCAGACGACGCAUCAGAAGAACACGAAGCAUUCAUCGACAGAUUGAGAAUCGCUUGGUGGCGGUCCUGUUGUCUCAAAACCGAUGGAACUGUAACGCAUUGAGGCGGCGACAAUGGCACCCUUUUGUCCUUUGAUUCAACUUCUUGACGAGGCUUUUCAAGUUUCUUCAAUGGCUUCACACCAGGUUUUCUAGUCUCUACUGUACGCGCUUUGUUCCCUGUAGGCCCAAGU
rnacentral:misc_RNA from 1 species